rnacentral:rRNA from 1 species
AUUGAACGCUGGCGGCAGGCCUAACACAUGCAAGUCGAGCGGAGCGGCGGACGGGUGAGUAAUGCCUAGGAAUCUGCCUGGUAGUGGGGGAUAACGUCCAGCAACGGGCGCUAAUACCACAUACUAUCAGAUGAGACUAGGUCGGAUUAGCUCGUUGGUGGGGUAAAGGCCUACCAGGGCGACGAUCCGUAACUGGUCUGAGAGGAUGAUCAGUCACACUGGAACUGAGACACGGUCCAGACUCCUCCGGGAGGCAGCAGUGGGGAAUAGUGGACAAUGGGCGAAAGCCGGAUCCAGCCAUGCCGCGUGUGUGAAGAAGGUCGUCGGAUUGUAAAGCACUUUAAGUUGGGAGGCGUUACCAACAGAAGAAGCACCGGCUAACUUCGUGCCAGCAGCCGCGGUAAUUC